GCACAAGCGGUGGAGCAUGUGGUUAAUUCGACGCAACGCGAAGAACCUUACCUGGGCUUGACAUCUGCGGAAUUUCUACGAAAGUGGGAAGUGCCCUUCGGGAGCCGCAAGACAGGUGCUGCAUGGCUGUCGUCAGCUCGUGUCGUGAGAUGUUGGGUUAAGUCCCGCAACGAGCGCAACCCUUAUCUUUAGUUACCAUCAUUCAGUUGGGGACUCUAAAGACACUGCCCCGGUCAACGGGGAGGAAGGUGGGAUGACGUCAAGUCCUCAUGGCCCUUAUGUCCAGGGCUACACACGUGCUACAAUGGGCAGUACAAAGGGCAGCGAGCCUGCGAAGGUGAGCCAAUCCCAAAAAGCUGUUCGUAGUUCGGAUUGGAGUCUGCAACUCGACUCCAUGAAGCUGGAAUCGCUAGUAAUCGCGGAUCAGCCAUGCCGCGGUGAAUACGUUCCCGGGCCUU
rnacentral:rRNA from 1 species